GAUGAACGCUGGCGGCGUGCCUAAUACAUGCAAGUCGAGCGAACGGACGAGAAGCUUGCUUCUCUGAUGUUAGCGGCGGACGGGUGAGUAACACGUGGAUAACCUACCUAUAAGACUGGGAUAACUUCGGGAAACCGGAGCUAAUACCGGAUAAUAUUUUGAACCGCAUGGUUCAAAAGUGAAAGACGGUCUUGCUGUCACUUAUAGAUGGAUCCGCGCUGCAUUAGCUAGUUGGUAAGGUAACGGCUUACCAAGGCAACGAUGCGUAGCCGACCUGAGAGGGUGAUCGGCCACACUGGAACUGACACACGGUCCAGACUCCUACGGGAGGCAGCAGUAGGGAAUCUUCCGCAAUGGGCGAAAGCCUGACGGAGCAACGCCGCGUGAGUGAUGAAGGUCUUCGGAUCGUAAAACUCUGUUAUUAGGGAAGAACAUAUGUGUAAGUAACUGUGCACAUCUUGACGGUACCUAAUCAGAAAGCCACGGCUAACUACGUG
rnacentral:rRNA from 1 species